UACGUAGGGUGCAAGCGUUGUCCGGAAUUACUGGGCGUAAAGCGUGCGCAGGCGGUUUUUUAAGCCAGACGUGAAAGCCCCGGGCUUAACCUGGGAAUGGCGUUUGGGACUGGAAGGCUGGAGUACGGCAGAGGGAGGUGGAAUUCCACGUGUAGCAGUGAAAUGCGUAGAGAUCGUAAGGAAGGCCAGUGGCGAAGGCGAGUUCCUGGACAGUUACUGACGCUGAGGCACGAAGGCCAGGGGAGCAAACGGG
rnacentral:rRNA from 1 species